UCAGAUUGAACGCUGGCGGCAGGCUUAACACAUGCAAGUCGAGCGGUAACAGGGGGUGCUUGCACCCCGCUGACGAGCGGCGGACGGGUGAGUAAUGCAUAGGAAACUGCCCAGUAGUGGGGGAUAGCCCGGGGAAACCCGGAUUAAUACCGCGUACGCCCUUCGGGGGAAAGCAGGGGCUCUUCGGACCUUGCGCUAUUGGAUGUGCCUAUGUCGGAUUAGCUAGUUGGUGGGGUAAAGGCCUACCAAGGCGACGAUCCGUAGCUGGUCUGAGAGGAUGAUCAGCCACAUCGGGACUGAGACACGGCCCGAACUCCUACGGGAGGCAGCAGUGGGGAAUAUUGGACAAUGGGGGCAACCCUGAUCCAGCCAUGCCGCGUGUGUGAAGAAGGCUUUCGGGUUGUAAAGCACUUUCAGUGAGGAGGAAGGCUUGAAGGUUAAUACCCUUCAGGAUUGACGUUACUCACAGAANAAGCACCGGCUAACUCCGUGCCAGCAGCCGCGGUAAUACGGAGGGUGCAAGCGUUAAUCGGAAUUACUGGGCGUAAAGCGCGCGUAGGUGGUUUGAUAAGCGAGAUGUG
rnacentral:rRNA from 1 species